rnacentral:rRNA from 1 species
CUUUAAGGUCAUAUAGGACAUAUCACCAGAAUGCAGUGAUCUAGGAACGUGAGCAGGUUUGGGCCUGGUUUGUACUUGGAUGGGAGACCACCUGGGAACACUGGGUGCCGUACACU